rnacentral:rRNA from 1 species
GAUGAACGCUGGCGGCGUGCCUAAUACAUGCAAGUCGAGCGAACGGACGAGGAGCUUGCUCCUCUGACGUUAGCGGCGGACGGGUGAGUAACACGUGGAUAACCUACCUAUAAGACUGGGAUAACUUCGGGAAACCGGAGCUAAUACCGGAUAAUAUUUUGAACCGCAUGGUUCAAUAGUGAAAGACGGUUUUGCUGUCACUUAUAGAUGGAUCCGCGCUGCAUUAGCUAGUUGGUAAGGUAACGGCUUACCAAGGCAACGAUGCAUAGCCGACCUGAGAGGGUGAUCGGCCACACUGGAACUGAGACACGGUCCAGACUCCUACGGGAGGCAGCAGUAGGGAAUCUUCCGCAAUGGGCGAAAGCCUGACGGAGCAACGCCGCGUGAGUGAUGAAGGUCUUCGGAUCGUAAAACUCUGUUAUUAGGGAAGAACAAAUGUGUAAGUAACUAUGCACGUCUUGACGGUACCUAAUCAGAAAGCCACGGCUAACUACGUG